GAUGAACGCUGGCGGCGUGCCUAAUACAUGCAAGUCGAGCGAACAGACGAGGAGCUUGCUCCUUCGACGUUAGCGGCGGACGGGUGAGUAACACGUAGGUAACCUACCUAUAAGACUGGGGUAACUUCGGGAAACCGGAGCUAAUACCGGAUAAUAUUUCGAACCGCAUGGUUCGAUAGUGAAAGAUGGCUUUGCUAUCACUUAUAGAUGGACCUGCGCCGUAUUAGCUAGUUGGUAAGGUAACGGCUUACCAAGGCAACGAUACGUAGCCGACCUGAGAGGGUGAUCGGCCACACUGGAACUGAGACACGGUCCAGACUCCUACGGGAGGCAGCAGUAGGGAAUCUUCCGCAAUGGGCGAAAGCCUGACGGAGCAACGCCGCGUGAGUAAUGAAGGUCUUCGGAUCGUAAAACUCUGUUAUUAGGGAAGAACAAACGUGUAAGUAACUGUGCACGUCUUGACGGUACCUAAUCAGAAAGCCACGGCUAACUACGUG
rnacentral:rRNA from 1 species